UUUCUCUGCUCGGCGUCGUCGGGGUCGCCUUCCUGGAGCACUUGGAUCAUUGAUCCCGCCGAAAUCUCUGGGCCAAGGAGCGAGCCUCCCCGGGGACUGAGAGGGAAGGAAGGGCUGCGGCUGGAAGUUGGGGGAGGAGUUGACAAACCUUCGGCGAAAAUGGGGAACGUUGCUCUGCGCCUGAGUGCGGCCC
rfam:Erinaceus europaeus unplaced genomic scaffold scaffold00210, whole genome shotgun sequence